rnacentral:rRNA from 1 species
UACGAAGGGGACUAGCGUUGUUCGGAAUUACUGGGCGUAAAGCGCACGUAGGCGGAUUUGUAAGUCAGGGGUGAAAUCCCGGGGCUCAACCUCGGAACUGCCUUUGAUACUGCAAAUCUCGAGUCCGAUAGAGGUGGGUGGAAUUCCUAGUGUAGAGGUGAAAUUCGUAGAUAUUACGGAAGAACACCGUGGCGAGGACGGCCGACUGACUGGACUUGGACGUCGAGCGCA